rnacentral:rRNA from 1 species
GAUGAACGCUGGCGGCGUGCUUAACACAUGCGGGUCGAACGGAAAGGCCCAAGCUUGCUUGGGUACUCGAGUGGCGAACGGGUGAGUAACACGUGGGUGAUCUGCCCUGCACUUCGGGAUAAGCCUGGGAAACUGGGUCUAAUACCGGAUAGGACGAUGGUUUGGAUGCCAUUGUGGAAAGUUUUUUCGGUGUGGGAUGAGCUCGCGGCCUAUCAGCUUGUUGGUGGGGUAAUGGCCUACCAAGGCGUCGACGGGUAGCCGGCCUGAGAGGGUGUACGGCCACAUUGGGACUGAGAUACGGCCCAGACUCCUACGGGAGGCAGCAGUGGGGAAUAUUGCACAAUGGGCGCAAGCCUGAUGCAGCGACGCCGCGUGGGGGAUGACGGCCUUCGGGUUGUAAACUCCUUUCGCUAGGGACGAAGCGUUUUUGUGACGGUACCUGGAGAAGAAGCACCGGCUAACUACGUG